rnacentral:lncRNA from 1 species
GCAUAAUUCAGGAGUCUUGACAUGUACCUGCACACUUCAGGCAUUUCCUCCGGCUGAGGAGGCUCCGGAGCCAUGUUACAGAAGAUAGUAUCCCUCCAGUUAGCUGCAGGUGCUUUAUAAAGAUCAAAAUUGCUAUUAUACAGAAACUUUUUCGUGAAAUCACGCGAAUAAAACAGCUUCUUCAGCUCAGUAUCUUGCUCAUGAAACUUAUGUUGGGUUUUAGUUUCUAUCUAUGAGAUUAAAAGCCCAAUAGGAUUACCCUUGUUUUGGCCCACAAGGAGAUAAAAAUAAAGGGAACCCUAUAUAUAAAUAUAGGAGGAUAUUUGUGAAAAUAAGCAAGAGAGAAAAUAGGCAAAAGAGAUAUAUUGUGUGAAAAUUCGUAGGUAAUUUUCUGGUUGCGUUGGCUGCCUUGUUUUUGCGUUUCCCGGAGUUCCAACGGUCGGAUCGUCCUGAAUUUCGGACAGCAUCUUCCUAACACCGAUAUCUAAAUUCUGAACGGUGGAGAUCGGAUUCGGAGGUGUAUUUGAGGGGCUGGGCAGUAGCUAAAGAGCCGUGGAGAGGCUGAACCUAGCCGUGGGUCUUUGUUCUUUUGUUGCUUAUUUGAUUCCAUACUUCUUGACGAGUUAUUCCAAGAGUGUGAAGGUGAUUGUAUUCCUCUAGUUUUAUCUGGAGAAGAACUUGGUGUAUUACCCAUAUAAUUUAUCAUAGUGAAUUGUUUGGGUGGACUACGGUCCCGUGGUUUUUACUCCUUUCAUUGAGGGGGUUUUCCACGUAUAAUUCUUGGUGUCUUGUUUAUUGUUUAUUGUUGCUUUACUUGUUUGUUUCAUCGAAGGUUCAUACAAGUAGGGAUAAGUAUUGUCCAACGAAGAUUAAUUCCGCACUUAGUUGUUGCCGUUGUGGUCACUUUUUCCCAUCAGAUUGGCAUCAGAGCCAGGUUAUUGUUUUUGAACUUGUUUGAACGAUGGAAACGAAUACGAGUAGAAUGGUUAAUUUGAAUGGUUCUAAUUAUCAUGUUUGGAAAGGGAAGAUGGAGGAUCUUCUUUAUGUGAAGGAAUAUUAUCUUCCCGUGUUUACUACGGAGAAGCCUGCAAAUAAAACCGAGCAAGAAUGGACUAUUUUGCAUCGACAGGUUUGUGGGUAUAUACGGCAAUGGGUGGAUGAUAAUGUUUUGAACCAUAUUAGUGGAGAGACACAUGCGCGUACUUUGUGGAACAAGCUCGAGCAACUCUAUGCUCGAAAGACGGGAAAUAAUAAGUUGUAUCUGAUUAAACAGUUGAUGUCUCUACGAUAUCAAGAUGGCACUACAAUUUCUGAUCACUUGAAUGCAUUCCAAGGAAUUAUGAAUCAGCUUGCUGGAAUGGGUAUCAAGUUUGAAGAUGAGAUACAGGGAUUGUGUCUUUUGGGUACUUUACCAGAUUCUUGGGAGACAUUCAGGAUGUCUUUGUCGAACUCAGCUCCGGAUGGUAUUAUCAGUAUGGAACUAGCUAAGAGCAGUAUUCUGAAUGAAGAGAUGAGAAGAAAGUCACAGGGUUCCUCUUCACAAUCAGAAAUCCUAGUCACCGAAAGGAAGGGGAGAGCUCAAAGCAGAGGUCCAGCCAAUAGAGGUAAUCAACGGAGUAGUUCUAGAGGUAAGUAUUCUAAUGUUGAGUGCUAUCAUUGUGGUAAGAAGGGACAUACGAAAAAGUUCUGCAGAAAGUUGAAGCGAGAAAAUAAAAAGAGCUCAGACAACGAUCAGACGAAAACUGACAGUAGUAAUGAUAAUUCUGUGGUGAUUGCUACUACUGAUGAGCACCUGAUCUGUUGUGAUGGAGACAUUGUUAACCUUGCACAAGAUGAUUUGAGUUGGGCUAUUGAUAGUGGUGCUUCGUGUCAUGUUACGUCACGAAGGGACUUCUUUACAUCUUAUACUUCUGGUGAUUUUGGAGAUGUUAAAAUGGGUAACAGUGGCAUAUCAAAAGUUGUUGGCGUCGGUGAGGUAUGUCUGAAGUUUGACACGGGCAUGGAGUUAUUUCUUCAUGAUGUGAAGCACGUUCCAGAUAUGCGAAUGAAUUUAAUUUCAACAGGCCUUCUUGAUGAUGAAGGGUAUGUUAGCAGCUUUGGUAAUGGUCAAUGGAAGCUCACUCGGGGUUCUUUAAUUGUUGCAAGAGGAAAGAGGUGUCCGAAAUUAUAUAUGACACAACCUAAAGUCUCUACUGGCAUUGUUAACGCUGUGGAGAAUGUUGAUAUGAUUGAUUUAUGGCAUAAGAGACUUGCUCACAUGACUGAAAAAGGAAUGAAUAUGCUGUCGAAGAAAAAGGUACUAUCUGGUCUGACUGAUAUACAUUUGAAAAGGUGUUCUCACUGUGUUGCUGGCAAGCAAAACAGAGUUUCUUUUAAGAGUCGUCCUCCCUCUCGUAGAGAGCAUAUACUUGACUUGGUGCAUUCCGAUGUUUGUGGUCCCAUGAAAACCCGAACCAAUGGUGGUUCAUUAUAUUUUGUUACAUUCAUCGAUGAUCAUUCAAGGAAGUUGUGGGUUUAUACCUUGAAGACUAAAGAUCAAGUAUUAGACGUGUUUAAGCAUUUUCAGGCUUUAGUUGAGAGACAGACUGGGAAGAAACUGAAAUGUAUCCGGACAGAUAAUGGAGGGGAGUAUACAGGUCCCUUUGAUGUGUAUUGCAGACAGCAGGGUAUUCGGCAUCAAAAAACUCCACCAAAGACACCUCAGCUUAAUGGUUUGGCAGAGAGGAUGAACAGAACACUAGUGGAGCGGGUCAGAUGUUUACUUUCACAUGCUGAGUUGCCGAUGUCUUUCUGGGGUGAGGCACUGAAUACUGCGGUAAAUGUAUUAAAUCUCUCACCUUGUGUUCCUUUACAGUUUGAUAUUCCAGAUAGAGUUUGGAGUGGUAAAGAUGUUUCUUAUGAUCAUUUGCGUGUCUUUGGAUGCAAGGCUUUUGUGCAUAUUCCCAAAGAUGAAAGGUCUAAACUAGAUGUGAAGACUAAAGAGUGCAUAUUCCUUGGUUAUAGCCAAGAUGAGUUCGGCUAUAGGCUCUAUGAUCCAGUUUCAAAGAAGAUUGUGAGAAGCCGAGAUGUUAUCUUUGUUGAAGAUCAGAGUUUGAAAGAUGUUGGGAAGGCAGAGUCAGUUCCUCAACAUAACAAUGAUCUGGUUGAUUUGGAUCCAGUUCCUCCAAGACAUGUGGACUCGCAGGUUGGAGACGAUGCUCAUGAUAAUGACCAACAUGACACUAAUACUGAUAUUCCCGAAAAUAGUGACAUGGAUGAUGAUGCCCAUGAGGAGUCACCGGUACAAAAUGUUCCACCAUUCGUUCCACUCAGGCGGUCUAACAGAGAUCGUCAUCCUUCCAACAGGUAUUCUGCUGAUGAGUAUGUUCUAUUGACUGAUAGUGGUGAACCUGAAUCUUAUGCAGAAGCUAUGGAAGAUGAGCACAAGAAGGAGUGGGUUUAUGCCAUGCAAGAUGAGAUGAAAUCCUUGUAUGAGAAUAAUACUUUUGAGUUGGUGAAGCUACCUAAGGGAAAACGAGCUUUGAAGAACAGGUGGGUUUACAGAGUGAAGCAAGAUGAGCAUACUUCACAACCACGGUACAAAGCUAGGUUGGUCGUCAAGGGAUUCAGUCAGAAAAAGGGUAUUGAUUUUGAUGAGAUUUUUUCUCCCGUUGUUAAGAUGACAUCAAUUCGUACGGUGCUUGGUUUAGCAGCUAGUCUUGAUUUGGAGGUUGAACAAAUGGAUGUCAAGACAGCUUUUCUACAUGGUGACUUGGACAAAGAAAUCUAUAUGGAGCAGCCUGAAGGUUUUGAGGUUAAAGGUAAAGAGGGGUAUGUUUGUAGACUUCUAAAAAGUCUAUAUGGUUUGAAGCAAGCACCAAGGCGAUGGUAUAAAAAGUUCGAGUCAUUUAUGAAGAAGCAAGGCUACCGUAAGACUAUUUCUGACCAUUGUGUUUUUGUUCAGAGAUUUUCAGAUGAUGAUUUUAUCAUAUUAUUGCUUUAUGUGGAUGACAUGCUUAUUGUUGGCAAAAAUACUGAAAGAAUUUCCCAACUGAAGCAACAGUUGAGUAAGUCCUUUGCCAUGAAGGACUUGGGGCCAGCGAAACAGAUUCUUGGCAUUCGUAUUCAUCGAGAUAGAGUGGCCAAGAAGUUGCAUAUAUCACAAGAGCAAUAUAUUGAGAAGGUGCUUUGCAGGUUCAACAUGGAUAAAGCUAAAGUUGUUAGUUCUCCUCUUACUACCAACUUUAAGUUAACUGAAAAGGAUUCUCCUUCUACGAAGGAAGAAAUUGCAGAGAUGGAUGGAGUUCCAUAUGCCUCAGCAGUAGGAAGUUUGAUGUAUGCUAUGGUAUCUACGAGACCUGAUAUAGCCUUUGCAGUUGGGGUUGUCAGUCGUUAUCUUACAAAUCCGGGUAAGAAGCAUUGGGAAGCAGUUAAGUGGAUUAUGCGAUAUCUUCGAGGUACUUCCAAAUUGGGUCUUACAUUUGGGAAUGAUAAACCAGUGCUUAUUGGAUAUACAGAUUCUGACUUGGCAGGUGAUAAGGAUACAUUGAAAUCCACUUCUGGAUAUUUGAUGACUUUUGCAGGGGGAGCAGUCUCAUGGCAAUCUAGGUUGCAAAAGGGUGUUUCACUUUCUACGGGGGAGGCAGAGUAUGUAGCAACAACUGAAGCUUGUAAAGAGUUGUUGUGGUUAAAGCGGUUGAUGCAGGAGCUUGGCUUCCCGCAACAACGCUAUGUUGUUCUUUGUGAUAAUCAAGCAGCUAUCGAUAUAGCUAAGCAUCCAACAUUUCAUGCAAGGACGAAACAUAUCGAUAUGAGGUAUCAUUGGAUUAGAGACGCUCUUGAAGAAGGGUUGUUUGAAGUGGAAAAGGUACACACCGAUGAUAAUGGUUCUGAUAUGUUGACAAAGUCUUUAGCUAAAGGGAAGCUAAAGGUAUGUUGUUCGAUCGCCGGAAUGGCGAACUCUUUCUCAUAGUUAGAAAGGGGGAGAUUUGUUGGGUUUUAGUUUCUAUCUAUGAGAUUAAAAGCCCAAUAGGAUUACCCUUGUUUUGGCCCACAAGGAGAUAAAAAUAAAGGGAACCCUAUAUAUAAAUAUAGGAGGAUAUUUGUGAAAAUAAGCAAGAGAGAAAAUAGGCAAAAGAGAUAUAUUGUGUGAAAAUUCGUAGGUAAUUUUCUGGUUGCGUUGGCUGCCUUGUUUUUGCGUUUCCCAGAGUUCCAACGGUCGGAUCGUCCUGAAUUUCGGACAGCAUCUUCCUAACACCGAUAUCUAAAUUCUGAACGGUGGAGAUCGGAUUCGGAGGUGUAUUUGAGGGGCUGGGCAGUAGCUAAAGAGCCGUGGAGAGGCUGAACCUAGCCGUGGGUCUUUGUUCUUUUGUUGCUUAUUUGGUUCCAUACUUCUUGACGAGUUAUUCCAAGAGUGUGAAGGUGAUUGUAUUCCUCUAGUUUUAUCUGGAGAAGAACUUGGUGUAUUACCCAUAUAAUUUGUCAUAGUGAAUUGUUUGGGUGGACUACGGUCCCGUGGUUUUUACUCCUUUCAUUGAGGGGGUUUUCCACGUAUAAUUCUUGGUGUCUUGUUUAUUGUUUAUUGUUGCUUUACUUGUUUGUUUCAUCGAAGGUUCAUACAAAUAGGGAUAAGUAUUGUCCAACGAAGAUUAAUUCCGCACUUAGUUGUUGCCGUUGUGGUCACUUUUUCCCAUCAACUUACAAACUCCAUCGAUCAUUUCAUCCAUGACACUUUCUGGAACACCAUGAUUCACAACUCGAAAAAAUCCCCAGUUCUCACAAGCAUCUCUAACUUCUUUAACAACUCUGCCACGCGAACUCUCAUCGAUAUCAAUAUUUUUCAAGUCUAUGCUUGGAAAACCAGAUUUGCUGUGCCUUGAAGAUGGAAUUUGACUUAUUUGAGCUUGAUUAUGUACAAAUAUUCGAGGGAUUUUGGUGACACCGGAGUCUACAAGUCCCUUUACACCAGCUUUUGUAUCAUCAAAAGCUUUUAACUCACUUUGUCGAUCAUAUCCUUGUUUCUCCAUUGUUUUGGUAGCUCAAAUGUUGUGACUACUGAGCUAAAAUAGUGAGCAGAUAAGAUGAUGUGGCGCGAUGUGGACGCAUUUUUUCCUGUAUGACAAGGAAAAAUUUAAUCAAUACUUAUCAACAACGUCACUGCCUCCGUCACUUUUUGGUCAUAUGUUAUAAUCAUAUUAUUAAUUUGGAAUCUCUAGAGCCUGAUCUGCAGUAAUGGAGGAAGCCAUUAAGCCCUUAUGAAUACGAGUAUGAUACAUAAUCAGUUGGUGUGUUAGGAGUUGUCCCACAUCGGUUGUGGGAGGGGUAUAAAGCUAGAAUAUGAGUAGUCAGAACAUUUCUAAGAUGUUUUAUUGGAGGUGUCCAAAAACAAAAUCGUGCGGAUAUCACACAUAGUAUCGUCGUGAUUUUAGAUUUACCAAUCCCGUCAUCAGUAGAAAAAACAACAUUUUAAAACCAUAACAAUGUUUUCAUAUGAUACAUGAAGAAGAUUUCCUGCGUGUGCCACAAGAGAUCCAGGAACAAGACAACAUUAACUCAGUGAUUACCGAGAGCGACUAGUAGGUCACUAGUCUUGCAAAGUAUCACUCAGUUUAAUAUAUCAUAACAGCUAAUCAGCUUGAGUGAUUUUGUCACCAAGCAAAUUAUUCUUAUAUUAUUAUACAUAUUUAUCUAUUUUGGACUACAAAUUUUAUUCAUUUCAGCCUGAAGUGCAGCAAUCGAGAUUCCCCGUCCAGCCCUUUUGAGUAGGAGUAUGAUAAAUAUUCUUGAGCUGUUGUUUCUCUAUACUUGGGAGGAUUAUCAUCUGAAACCAACUCUUUGAUAGGUCCAUAGAGCUUCGGAGAUGGCAUUAGACCAGUGCUAAAGAAGCAUGCUACUGAUACUCUCAGGCCAAUUUUGUUUGCAACGACUCUGUGCUCCACACUUUUAAAGCGAUCAUUCGUUAGAAGCUGAAAAAACAAUCAUUAAACAAGAAUGAGAAACCUGAACUUGUCUUCACUUCAAUCAUUCAAUGUACACUACACAACAUCUAAAUUCGCAAUACUUGCCUGUAGAAGAUCUCCGAUGUUAACUAUAAGUGUCCCCGGAAGAGGCGGAACAUCAAUCCAAUGAUCUUGGUGAAGAAUUUGUAGUCCACCAAUCUGAUCUUGAAGAAGUACAGUGAGGAAAUGAAAAUCAGUGUGUUUGGUGGUGCCUAAUGUCAGUUCUGGCUGCGGACAUGGGGGAUAGCAAUGACAGAACAAUUCAAGCCCCUUGGCACAUUCCAUAUCUUCUAGGUGAUUAAUGUCCAGUCCCAGAGCCUUGGAUAGUAAUCCAAAUAAAGUAAUCCCCAAUUUCAUUACUUGUUCUGAAAACUCUAUCUGGAUAUCUCUACAAAUUUUAAUCAUAAUGGUAAAUUAUAAGCUUCACUGGUAGGAAAAUAUAGGUCACAUUUAAGAUCCGGAAUUAUCAUAUCAAAAUUCAGCAUACCUGCAUGGUGCUGGCAAUUCCUCUGGUUGAGGAGGAGGAGCCAUAACACAGUAAAGUGUGUCCCUCCAAUCAGCUGCCGGUGCACUAAACAAAUAAAAAUUGCUAUAGUACACCACUUUUCUUGUAGAGUCACGCGUGUAAAACUCUUUCUUCACCUCAGUGUCUUGCUCAAAGAACCUACGUACUCCAUGAAGCAUCUCUUCUAAUACAUUCACUGGAAUCCCAUGAUUCACAACUUGGAAAACACCAAAUGUCUCAGAUGCACACCGCACUUUAUUAACUAUCUCUUGAUGACUCUCUUGAUCUUUAUCAAGGCCUUCAAGAUCGAUGACAGGAAUACAAAAAUCUUUGCACUUGUCACCUGAGUUAUUUUCAAAGACAUCAGGUGGAUGAAUGAAUAUAUCCGGAAUUUUCUUAACUCCAGCGUCUACUAGUCCUUUCACCCCGGCUUUGGUAUCAUCAAAAGCUUGUAAUUCAUUCUUCCGGUUGGAGUAAGAUCUGUGGGACUGUUCUGCUGCUUCCAUGGUAUUACCAGUGACCAUAAACAUCUUGUGUUAUGUGCAUUAUAUAUUGUAAUUGCUAUUAUUUCUUGCCACGCCAGUAGUUCAAAGAUAAAUAAUUGACAGCUGCAUCUAACAACUAGUUUCCCAAAGAUACUCAAAUGUGCAACUUGAAAGCUUCAUUUUGAUAUGUCAUACAUAAUUAGUAAAAGUUCAUCUCAGCAAGUCAUGCAUAAUUUGCAACAAUAACAAUGAUAUCUGCAUGUUUAUAGUUAUUUUUUCGAAUUGAAAAUGCAUGAAUUUGUCAUAUUUGGUGGCAAAUGGUUACAAGUUACAACUGGUGCCUAGUCCUCAUCCUUGUUAAAGCAAUUCUUGGCGAUAGUCUGAACUUCCUAGACACUAGUGAGGUAAUUGAGAGUUGUAAAUUAAUUCUUGGAAGUUUGUAUCGAGUUUUAGUUACGUUUAUUCAGGAAAGUGCUAGUAAGGUAGUCAGUAGUGUAGGAAGUAUAAAUGGAGAAAUUACGUAAAAUCAAAUAAUCAAUAAUAAUAUAACAGUAUAUAUUAGAGGCACUUGAAAACCACACUAUAUUUAAAACAAAUAAGCUCUUUCACAUGGUGUUUGAAGGUGUUGUUGCUUCCAUCUUCCAGGAUACAACGAAUAGAGGUGAUCUAAAGCACUAGAGACCCGCCUCCUACAAACCGAAAACUGAACAAAUAGUCUUCUAUCUCACAAGAACUGAACCCUGAACCUACAGCUCUAACAUGAAUGAGUACAAGAACGGUGGCUGUGCAAGGGGCGAACGCACGUAAAAUGAUGAGGAGAAAUUUGCUAACCAAAUUAAGAAAAUGUUUUUAUCCUUAAAUCAUUGUGAUAUAUUAUUUUGACAUUGUAUUACUUGUAACAAGUCAAAUAUAAAAAACAAAAAAAAAAUCCAGAGAAACAGAGUAAUCCAUAUACAUAUUGAACAUCCCCUUUACUAAUCAACUCCAAUAAUUUGACUACCAAACAAUCUAUUUGAAUCUUUAGAGCCUGAUCUGCAGUAAUGGAGGAAGCCAUUAAGCCCUUAUGAAUACGAGCACAUAAUGAGUUCCCCUUGAUCCAUAUCGAUAGCCUAGUUAAGCAACUUGAAAGCUGAUAGUGCAGAGGUUCCAUCGAGACCUUUGUUGUAAUAGUGUGUGACGAACUCUUUGAUUGUAAUUUCUCUGUAGCACGGCGGGUUUGUUUCAGAUAGCAACUCCUUGAUCGGGCUGUAUGACCUUGAUGCUGUUUUCUCCCAAAAAUGUGUUCUAAAGAAACUUGCCACUGAUAUUCUAGGGCCAAUCUUUUGUGCUAAUACUCUGUGGUUCACACUCUUGAAUUUGUCAUUGGUAAUGAGCUGCACAGAUAAAACAAGUUAAACAAUUUGUAAUCUAGUCAUAGUUUUGUACACAAUGAUCAGUAGUACUAACACAAAGUACCAAAGUGUUGUUAAUCUACCAGAUUAAACGAGUUUUUUAUGACAUAUAACAUCCCUUUACCUGUAAAAGGUCUGCAAUGUUUACUAUUAAAGAUCCGGGGACAUGAGGGAUAUCGAUCCACUCAUUGUCAUGAAUAACUUGGAGGCCGCCUAUGUUGUCUUGUAAGAGUAUGGUAAAAAACCCGCUAUCAGAGUGAUUGCUGGUGGCUAGAGUUAGUUCUGGUUCAGGGCAUGCAGGGUAGUAGUGACCAACUAGGAAAAGGCCUUCAGCACAAGCCAUGUCUUUCAAGUGAUUCCUAUUAAGUCCAAGAGCUUCUGAGAAUAGUUCCAACAGUGUAAUCCCCAUUUUCAUUAUGUACUCUGAGUAAUCAAACAUGAUGUCUCUGCAGUACAGGAUAAUGCACAAAAUCAAAAACCAAGAACUUGUCAAUAUUCAAAUAUUAUGUAUACUGUUUUUGAGUAUAUAUGAUACUACUCAAUUCUUAAAUAGAAUCGCGCAGAGGCAAAACUAAGCAAACAUUUAGUUUUCGACCUACUAAAAGAAGAACAAGUUUUUUCUAAUUGAGAUCAUAAAUGUACACAAAAACACGCAUAAAUCACAAGUCUUGACAUGUACCUGCACACUUCAGGCAUUUCCUCCAGCUGAGGAGGCUCCGGAGCCAUGUUACAGAAGAUAGUAUCCCUCCAGUUAGCUGCAGGUGCUUUAUAAAGAUCAAAAUUGCUAUUAUACAGAAACUUUUUUGUAAAAUCACGCGAAUAAAACAGCUUCUUCAGCUCAGUAUCUUGCUCAUGAAACUUACAAACUCCAUCGAUCAUUUCAUCCA